rnacentral:rRNA from 1 species
GGCGGCAGGCUUAACACAGGCAAGUCGAGCGCGUAGCAAUACGAGCGGCAGACGGGUGAGUAACGCGUGGGAAUCUACCCUUUUCUACGGAAUUACGCAGGGAAACUUGUGCUAAUACCGUAUCCGCCCUUUUGGGGAACGAUUUAUCGGAGAAUGAUGAGCCCGCGUUUGAUUAGCUAGUUGGUGGGGUAAAGGCCUAACAAGGCGACGAUCCAUAGCUGUUCUGAGAGGAUGAUCAGCCACAUUGGGACUGAGACAAGGCCCAAACUCCUACGGGAGGCAGCAGUGGGGAAUAUUGGACAAUGGGCGCAAGCCUGAUACAGCCAUGCCGCGUGAGCGAUGAAGGGCCUAGGGUUGUAAAGCUCUUUCACCGGUGAAGAUAAUGACGGUAACCGGAGAAUAAGCCCCGGCUAACUUCGUGCCAGCAGCCGCGGUAAUACGAAGGGGGCUAGCGUUGUGUCGGAAUUACUGGGCGUAAAGCGCACGUACGCGGAUUGCUAAGUGACGGGUGAAAUCCCAGGGCUCAACCCUGGAACUGCCUUUCAUACUGCCAAUCUAGAGUCCAGAAGAGGUGAGUGGAAUUCCGAGUGUAGAGGUGAAAUUCGUAGAUAUUCGGAGGAACACCAGUGGCGAAGGCGGCUCACUGGUCUGGUACUGACGCUGAGGUGCGAACGCGUGGGGAGCAAACAGGAUUAGAUACCCUGGUAGUCCACGCCGUAAACGAUGAAUGUUAGCCGUCGGGCAGUCUACUGUUCGGUGGCGCAGCUAACGCAUUAAACAUUCCGCCUGGGGAGUACGGUCGCAAGAUUAAAACUCAAAGGAAUUGAC